rnacentral:lncRNA from 1 species
GUACACAAUGUUUAUAAUUCCAGGGAAGUGAAAAGAGCAACUUUCCUCUAUAAUGUAAUUAUGUACUUUCUACAUCUAUGGUAACAAUACCUUAGUUUGAUUAUAGGUAUUUGUUUAGCGAUAGUCAGUUGGCCCUAGGCUAUAGUUCUAGAGGGUUUGGAAAAUCUCCCACAUCAGAGGUGGAAGCAGUGGAAGGAAAACAACAACAAAGGAUCAUGAUAAAGGACUCUGCUGUUACUCAAUGGAGAUACUAAUGCUAUGGAAACCAGCCAUAGGAAAUAAGCCAUUUGGGGAUGGUGUAAAGAGCAGGCUAUAAUGAAACCACUUAUAAUAUGUAAGAUAACAGAAAUCUACAACAUAUUUCUCAAUCAAAAUGAAGACAUUCGGCAUGUACUAGCAGAACCAAUUCAAACUGGAACAAAGAUGGGGCGAGUGGACAUUGCCUUUUCCUCCAAGGGUUGGUUUGACAUCUUAUAAUCACUUUAUAUAACAGCCAUUCUCCCAGUAAAAAGUGAAAAACCAGAGGAAGAGGUCUUGCUUCAUCCAACUCCACUGAUUUUGGCUUUGAGAGAAUACAGCUUUAAGAAGGUAUUCCCGGGAAUAUCCCAGGAACUCUAUCCGCCCCCUCAGAAUAGUAGGCAAUUGAGUUAGUGAUGGUGACUCAGGCAGGCUUUUUCAUCCUGAUCUAAAGGAACCACUACAACCCUAGAGAGAGAAAUAAAAAGGGAAUCGAGUGGAAAAGGCCUCCACCACCGAUGACUCAUGCUCUACUGUGACUCGCCUGGUACAUCACUCUGUGGCUAAGACAUGGAGGCUUGGUUCAUUAGUCACUUCAGUGAUUUUUUCAAAGCAAGGAUUCUCCCUCUAAAUAAUCAUGAGCUCUGCUUCCACAGUGUUUGUAUGUGAGCUUGUGACUCACCUUUCCACCAUGCCAGGCAGUACCAAUUGUGUCAUCUGCAAGAGAGAAAGCAAAACAUUCAUGAUGGCCAAGGAUGCAGGCAACAGAAAAAGAGUGAAGAAAACUCACCCACACUAAAAAGAAGGGAAUCAUGAAACCAUUCACCACUUCUACAGACAGCAGGUUAUUUUCUGUACACUGUAGAAUGUGACUGUGUCAAGAGGGCAUAAAAAGGAACCAGCUGAAAUUACUGGAGAGAACACAGGGAAUACUUUAAUGAACCUGGCUAAAAUUAGUCUUGCCUGAAAUGUAAUACUGGCACAGAGUUCUUCAAACAAUGAAGGAUUUACAGUGAAAAUCUACAUUUCCCAAAAUGCAUUCUCAGAAAAGAAUAUAUGUUAUCAGAAGAAAUAUCCUGCCUACCAAGAUGACUUAAGCUUUCUAACCUCAAGAGCUCACAUAAACUUUUCCAGCCAAAAAAAGUCUUUAAAAGAAUACGAUAAAGUGGUAGGUUGGCAAAGAGUAAGUGUAACUUCACAUUCAUUUCUCUUGUUGGUCUAGUUAGCUGUAAGUAAAACUCAUCCUUAAAGAGAGUUAAGAUGUGAUCUCUAGUAACCAACAUGAAAAGGUGACAUCUGCAUUUUUUAAGGACUCCAUAAUUGUUGACUAAAUACAUAUAAUGAGAGGGGCUAUUUUUAAACUCUGUUUUGAUAUAUUAUUAACCAAGAAAAGUUCAGAAGUCCAAUGGUUUAGUCAAAAUCACCUCACAGUUAAAUACCGAGGCUGUAACGUGAAUUUCUGACUCCUGGAUAUCAUCAAUUCUCUAAGAAACAGAUGCUGUUUUGUAAUAAUAAGGUUUCAAUGCAUGCUAAGCAUAGAAAUUUUGUUGUUUCUAUCUUGAAUAAUACUUCAUAUUAAUUAAAGUAGACAGCAUUCUGAUGAGAAGGGAAUUUUGUUUUCCUAGAAAUAUUCUGAAGAAAUAAAAUGCCAGCCAGAUUUAACAAGGUAAAUUCUGCUAUGUGAACAUCCAAUCCAGAUGUAUUAUGAACAGCUUUGUAUGGUAGUACAGAUGUACAUCAGGCAUAUUAACAGUGGUGGGUAUUUUAUUGUAAAGGAUAGAUUAUACAAAACCCUAACAGUAUUUGAAAACUUUUUUUUUUUUAUUUAGCACAUUUCAUCAGGGACCAUAAUGCUUAGCUAAAGUAUUAUAAAGAGUUCCCCCAGCAUUUUGUGAAGGGAAGCUAUAAUUCAGUUCUCCAAAGUUCUGAGAUCACCAGAAACAGAAUAAGGAAGGAGACUGGUAAUAAAAAUGUCUUUACCCAG